CCUACGGGUGGCAGCAGUGAGGAAUAUUGGUCAAUGGACGGAAGUCUGAACCAGCCAUGCCGCGUGCAGGAAGACGGCUCUAUGAGUUGUAAACUGCUUUUGUACAAGGGUAAACCUGAAUACGUGUAUUCAGCUGAAAGUACUGUACGAAUAAGGAUCGGCUAACUCCGUGCCAGCAGCCGCGGUAAUACGGAGGAACCAAGCGUUAUCCGGAUUUAUUGGGUUUAAAGGGUGCGUAGGCGGAUUGAUAAGUUAGAGGUGAAAUGUCCGAGCUUAACUCGGGAACUGCCUCUAAUACUGUUGGUCUAGAGAGUAGAUGAGGUAGGCGGAAUGUAUGGUGUAGCGGUGAAAUGCUUAGAGAUCAGACAGAACACCGAUUGCGAAGGCAGCUUACCAAUCUAUAUCUGACGUUGAGGCACGAAAGCGUGGGGAGCAAACAGGAUUAGAUACCCCAGUAGUC
rnacentral:rRNA from 1 species